AGAGUUUGAUUCUGGCUCAGGAUGAACGCUGGCGGCGUGCUUAACACAUGCAAGUCGAACGGGAUCCAUCAGGCUUUGCUUGGUGGUGAGAGUGGCGAACGGGUGAGUAAUGCGUGACCGACCUGCCCCAUGCACCGGAAUAGCUCCUGGAAACGGGUGGUAAUGCCGGAUGCUCCAUCGCACCGCAUGGUGUGUUGGGAAAGCCUUUGCGGCAUGGGAUGGGGUCGCGUCCUAUCAGGUAGUCGGCGGGGUAACGGCCCACCGAGCCUACGACGGGUAGCCGGCCUGAGAGGGCGACCGGCCACAUUGGGACUGAGAUACGGCCCAG
rnacentral:rRNA from 1 species